AUUGAACGCUGGCGGCAGGCCUAACACAUGCAAGUCGAGCGGAUGAAGGGAGCUUGCUCCUGGAUUCAGCGGCGGACGGGUGAGUAAUGCCUAGGAAUCUGCCUGGUAGUGGGGGAUAACGUCCGGAAACGGGCGCUAAUACCGCAUACGUCCUGAGGGAGAAAGUGGGGGAUCUUCGGACCUCACGCUAUCAGAUGAGCCUAGGUCGGAUUAGCUAGUUGGUGGGGUAAAGGCCUACCAAGGCGACGAUCCGUAACUGGUCUGAGAGGAUGAUCAGUCACACUGGAACUGAGACACGGUCCAGACUCCUACGGGGGGCAGAAGUGGGGAAUAUUGGACAAGGGGCGAAAGCCUGAUCCAGCCAUGCCGGGUGUGUGAAGAAGUUCUUCGGAUUGUAAAGCACUUUAAGUUGGGAGGAGGGGCAGUAAGUUAAUACCUUGCUGUUUUGACGUUACCAACAGAAUAAGCACCGGCUAACUUCG
rnacentral:rRNA from 1 species